UACGUAGGGUGCGAGCGUUGUCCGGAAUUAUUGGGCGUAAAGAGCUCGUAGGCGGUCUGUCGCGUCUGCUGUGAAAUCCCGAGGCUCAACCUCGGGCUUGCAGUGGGUACGGGCAGGCUAGAGUGCGGUAGGGGAGAAUGGAACUCCUGGUGUAGCGGUGGAAUGCGCAGAUAUCAGGAAGAACACCGAUGGCGAAGGCAGUUCUCUGGGCCGUAACUGACGCUGAGGAGCGAAAAGCGUGGGGAGCAAACAGG
rnacentral:rRNA from 1 species